UGAUGGCUUGCCUACUGAAGGUAUAGAGAUUACUUGUUUCCAUAUGGAUGGGGCGCACUAUAUGAUCUAUGCACCAUCUGAUCCACUUCUAUUUGUUGCUGUCAAGGAUAAAAAUGGUCUGUUGCAAAUUGCAGAUGAUGAACUGCUGGAGGACGCUGCUAUCAUUGCUGCUAUAGACGAGGAAACAGAAUUCAAUGCUUUGGUGGAGGAAGAAGCUGCUCUUCUCGAGUCUUUGUUGGGGGAAAGAUAGCGAUG
rnacentral:misc_RNA from 1 species